CUCUGGGUGGUACAAAUGAUUAACAUGCUGAGCUGCUAACUCAAAGAUUGGUGGUUCAAAUCCACCCAGAGG
rnacentral:tRNA from 1 species